rnacentral:rRNA from 1 species
GACGUAGGGUGCAAGCGUUGUCCGGAUUUCUUGGGCGUAAAGAGCUCGUAGGCGGCUUGUUGCGUCGACUGUGAAAACCCGCGGCUUAACCGCGGGCUUGCAGUUGAUACGGGCAGGCUAGAGUUCGGUAGGGGAGACUGGAAUUCCUGGUGUAGCGGUGAAAUGCGCAGAUAUCAGGAGGAACACCGGUGGCGAAGGCGGGUCUCUGGGCCGAUACUGACGCUGAGGAGCGAAAGCGUGGGGAGCGAACAGG